rnacentral:rRNA from 1 species
GACGAACGCUGGCGGUGUGCUUAAUACAUGCAAGUCGAACGGAAAGGCCCUUUCGGGGGUCCACGAGUGGUGACCGGGUGCGUAACACGUGAGUAACCUUCACUCAUCUCUGGGAUAACAGUCGGUUACGGUUGCUAAUGCUGGAAAUGAGCUUGCAAGGCAUCUUCUGGGUUGGAAAGAUUAUUUUGGUUGUGGAUGGACUCGUGGCCUAUCAGCUUGUUGGUGAGGUAGUGGCUCACCUAGGCUUCGACGGGUAGCAGGCCUGUGAGGCCGACCGGCCGCAUUGGGUCUGAGGGGCGGCCCAAGCUGCGACGGUAGGCAGAAGUGGGGAAGAUUGCACGAGGGACGGAAGUCGGAUGCAGCAAGUCCGCGGGCGGGAUGACGGCCUUCGGGUGGAAAACCGAUUUCAAUUGUGACGAAGCUUGUUGUGACGGUAGCAGUAGAAGAAGCACCGGCUAACUACGUG